rnacentral:rRNA from 1 species
UACGAAGGGGGCUAGCGUUGCUCGGAAUGACUGGGCGUAAAGGGCGCGUAGGCGGCUUGUAGAGUCGGGUGUGAAAUUCCUGGGCUUAACCUGGGGGCUGCAUUCGAUACCUAUGGGCUUGAGUGCGGAAGAGGGAUGCGGAAUUCCAGGUGUGGCGGUGAAAUGCGUAGAUAUCUGGAGGAACACCGGUGGCGAAGGCGGCCUGCUGGGCAGUUGCUGACACUGAGGCGCGACAGCGUGGGGAGCAAACAGG